CAUUCAAUUUUAUAUGUAUUUCCUUAUCAUUCCUAUCUCAAUUUACACUUUCAAAUCUAUUCCUAAGUAUCUUUUACUUUGAUAACAAGGUAUAUAUUGUUUUAAAACACUCUGUAAAUAAACGUGGCAAGAAAAUUAACCUAGCAUCAAAUUUCCUAGCAGGAAUAUUUGGAUUUAUAUUUCGACUUGUUUUAUCAUCAUCAAUGUCAUUUUCGUAAUUCGAAGUUGGGCAGUAUUGUCAAUAAGAAAGUAAUUUAAGACGGUUCAUGUGGCCCGCUUUGCGAGUUAUACGAAUCCUCUUUUCUAUACAUUCCAGCCCACCUUUAAACUUUAGUGUUCUUUCUCAUAAAUCUAUUAGUAUAUAAAACGCAUGCGCAUAGCUCAAAGUCAAACCGAAAGUGCAACAAAUUAAGAGCAGGAAUGGGGGCGUCUAGAAGCACACCGGUUUGGGCUAGUCGGUCUCAUAUUACCCGGAAGUUGACAAAAAUUCAAAUGGUAUGAUUGCCACGAGUCGCACUAUACUGAACGAAAAGGAAAUGAUGGAAGACUCAAGGGAGAGUAUAUUAGACGUCUAUUCCUACAAAGUUCCACUCAUCAAUAUCACAGGAACAUGUCGGUGGUUUUAUCACAGAUUUGUCGUAUUUAAAACGAAUAGUUGGUGGUGGUCCAUAGAGAAGAAUGCUAAAGAAAUAAUAAUACAAAGAAGCGAGAAUGAAACAGCAGUUAGAGACAGAAUUCUAGGCGAAAAAAGAAGCAAUGGGGCAAACAUAACACUAGAAAAAAAGGAUUCUUCAAAUGUGAAUGUAAAAGCCCUUUUAGAGAUGCUGGAUUAUGAAAACGAGACGUUUAACAAGUACCAUUUGCUUGAAAGCAAUUGUCAAACGUUUGGAAAGCGCAUUUUUGAGUAUAUCCGGAUAAAAAGCAUGACGGGAAAGAUAGCGUAAAUUGUUUGUAAAAUACACGAAGAAUUCACAUAUAUCAGAUAUAAGGACUGUCUACACCAUAUACUCAGUGGUAUGUUAAUGAUCAAAUUGUUUAUAGAUAAUGAACAAUGAAGAAAACACUAGACAUGUUUUGGGAGUAUUAAAUACUGCCUAUUUACAACCUAAACUUUGCUAAUUUCGAAGUGUCGGAGGUGAGACUGGGUAUAUUUACAUGUGUGUGUAAUUUUUGUACCUAAUAAAAUAUCGCCAAAACAACCGCCAACUAGAAGUAGAUUAAGUAACGCAUCACCAUCAUAAGUGACUGACUAUGCGAUAAAACCUUGAAAACGGAUUUUAUCAAGCUGAAUGCUAGUAUUUCUCAUGCAUUUAGAUUACUGAUACAAUCUAAAUUAAAUUGACACUUUGUUGAAAAGAAGUUUUCUUAUAACCUGAUAAACAUUUACAUUGUUAUACUUCAAGAUCAUAUUACUAGAUUCUACUGGUUGUUGUACGAGUAUUGUUAACUACACUUAUUUUUAUGUGAGGUUUUUCUUUUUGCUACUUAUCUUCAUGACAAGCGCAAACUUUUAUACGAGACGGGCGCUUCUAAAGCUUUUUGACGGGUAGAUAUAUUUUGUGUUAUAAACCCUUUUCAAAUGCUAAAAGAAAGCAUAUUAGAAUGAAGGACUGAAAUUUGUUUAGGUUUGAAAACAAAGCUGACAUACCUGUUUUAGUACUUAAAUGUGAUAUAUAUAUUGUGACCUCUUUGCAUUCAAAAGCCUAUGUAUUGCGCAUUAUGUUAAAAAUAUUUUAUGUUCCUUUAGUGGUACCUUUAACAAUAAUGGAGUUGAUUAGAAUUUCACAUUUAAAUGAGCUCUCAUGUGAUACUUGCUACUUUAUAACCACUAUCUCUUUAUUUGUCUUGUCUUUUAGCAGUUUGUUUGUGCAAUUGGUGUAGAUAAGGAUAUUAUAUAAUUUUAACAUAAUUAUAUUUUAAUUAAUAUGUAAACUCAAAUAAUUUGGUAUUUAUGAAUUAUGCAGACUUCUAAGUCGUAAUUUGUUUUUAAGCUAUGUACUAAUGAAAUUAUUUUACUUACAACACUUGUUUUCAGUACUCUGAUACAAAACUCAGUCAAAGCUUAUGUUGCAUUUUUAUAUGUCUUGCCGACUUAAAAUAAAACUUAUCUUGUGUACAAAGAAAAAAAAAUGGUGUGUAUAUCAGUCGAAAAGAAUGCUAAUUGAUAAAAAUUGUAGGCGUGUUAAAGUGGAAAUAAAAUCUGUAAAAAGA
rnacentral:lncRNA from 1 species